GAUGAAGAACGUAGCGAAAUGCGAUAAGUAAUGUGAAUUGCAGAACUCAGUGAAUCAUCGAAUCUUUGAACGCACAUUGCGCCCCCUGGUAUUCCGGGGGGCAUGCCUGUCCGAGCGUCAUUGCUGCCCUCAAGCACGGCUUGUGUGUUGGGCCUCCGUCCUCCUCCCGGGGGACGGGCCCGAAAGGCAGCGGCGGCACCGCGUCCGGUCCUCGAGCGUAUGGGGCUUCGUCACCCGCUCUUGUAGGCCCGGCCGGCGCUUGCCGACACAUCAAUCUUUUUUCCAGGUUGACCUCGGAUCAGGUAGGGAUACCCGCUGAACUUAAGCAUAUCAAUAGCGGAGGA
rnacentral:misc_RNA from 1 species